CGGUAUCGAUAUUGACGCGUGUACGGGCGGCGUUAUGGUGGGAGAGGCACCGCUUUCUGAAAGCGUUCGACGAAGUGUGAAAACUCAUUACAACGUGGCAACAUGGCGAUGGAGUGGGAGGGGUGAAAAGCGUGUUAAACGUGGGAACUGUUGUUGAGUUGGAGAGAAAGUAGUAUGGUGAAGUAUCGAGCGGUGGCAAGGAAUGUACGGCAGAGUAUGUACUGGAGCUGGGAGGGGCGAGCAUAAGGGACGAAGGGAUUAGAAACAUGUCGGAUGCGAUCAUACCAGCACUAAAGCACC
rnacentral:rRNA from 1 species